rnacentral:rRNA from 1 species
UACGAAGGGGGCUAGCGUUGCUCGGAAUCACUGGGCGUAAAGCGCACGUAGGCGGCUUCUUAAGUCAGGGGUGAAAUCCUGGAGCUCAACUCCAGAACUGCCUUUGAUACUGGCGAUCUUGAGUCCGGGAGAGGUGAGUGGAACUGCGAGUGUAGAGGUGAAAUUCGUAGAUAUUCGCACGAACACCAGUGGCGAAGGCGGCUCACUGGCCCGGUACUGACGCUGAGGUGCGAAAGCGUGGGGAGCAAACAGG